CGCUGAACUUCGGUUCGGAGUGGCAGACGGCUGAGUAACGCGUAGGCAACCUGUCCCACAGUGGGGGAUAACCCGCCGAAAGGUGGGCUAAUACCGCAUCCGCUCCCGCGGUGAGAGUCCGCGGGAGGAAAGCCGCAAGGCGCUGAGGGAGGGGCCUGCGUCCUAUCAGGUAGUUGGUGGGGUAACGGCUUACCAAGCCUACGACGGGUAGCUGGUCUGAGAGGACGACCAGCCAGACGGGGACUGAGACACGGCCCCGACUCCUACGGGAGGCAGCAGCGAGGAAUCUUGGGCAAUGGGCGAAAGCCUGACCCAGCGACGCCGCGUGGGGGAAGAAGGCCUUCGGGUCGUAAACCCCUUUUGCCGGGGAAGAAGCUCUGACGGUACCCGGCGAAUAAGCCACGGCUAACUACGUGCCAGCAGCCGCGGUAAUACGUAGGUGGCAAGCGUUGUCCGGAUUUACUGGGCGUAAAGGGCGUGUAGGCGGUCCGUUAAGUCUGGUGUGAAAUCUCCCGGCCCAACUGGGAGGGGUCAUCGGAUACUGGCGGACUAGAGGGGGGCAGA
rnacentral:rRNA from 1 species